rnacentral:rRNA from 1 species
ACAUGCAAGUCGAGCGGCAGCGCGGGGGCAACCCUGGCGGCGAGCGGCGAACGGGUGAGUAACACAUCGGAACGUACCCAGUUGUGGGGAAUAGCUCGGCGAAAGCCGGAUUAAUACCGCAUACGACCUGAGGGUGAAAGCGGGGGAUCGCAAGACCUCGCGCGAUUGGAGCGGCCGAUGUCGGAUUAGCUAGUUGGUAGGGUAAAGGCCUACCAAGGCGACGAUCCGUAGCGGGUCUGAGAGGACGGCCCGCCACACUGGAACUGAGACACGGUCCAGACUCCUACGGGAGGCAGCAGUGGGGAAUUUUGGACAAUGGGGGAAACCCUGAUCCAGCCAUUCCGCGUGAGUGAAGAAGGCCUUCGGGUUGUAAAGCUCUUUCGGCAGGAACGAAAAGGCGGGCUCUAAUACAGCCCGUCAAUGACGGUACCUGAAGAAGAAGCACCGGCUAACUACGUGCCAGCAGCCGCGGUAAUACGUAGGGUGCGAGCGUUAAUCGGAAUUACUGGGCGUAAAGCGUGCGCAGGCGGCUUUGUAAGACAGGUGUGAAAUCCCCGGGCUUAACCUGGGAACUGCGCUUGUGACUGCAAGGCUUGAGUGCGGCAGAGGGGGGUGGAAUUCCACGUGUAGCAGUGAAAUGCGUAGAGAUGUGGAGGAACACCGAUGGCGAAGGCAGCCCCCUGGGUCGACACUGACGCUCAUGCACGAAAGCGUGGGAAGCAAACAGGAUUAGAUACCCUGGUAGUCCACGCCCUAAACGAUGCCAACUAGGUGUUGGGGAAGGAGACUUCCUUAGUACCGUAGCUAACGCGUGAAGUCGGCCGCCUGGGGAGUA